rnacentral:ncRNA from 1 species
GACGAACUCCACGGGAGUCCGCACACGUUGGCAACAACCACCGCAGCGGGCUGAGAGGGCGUGAGCCGCCGACCGGAUCACCUGAUGCGGAUCAUGCCGCCGGAGGGAGGAACAAUGCCCGAGCA